UCCCUGAGCAGCCCAUUCCAUAUGUCUGAUCACCCUUUCUGUGAAGAAAUUUCUCCUGAUGUCCAGCGUAAACCUCCCCUGGCAGAGAGCAGGGUUAAUGCUGUGUGUCUCAAGGUACCCCUGACUACCCUGAUGCUUUCUAGAGAAUAAUUUAUCUAAUUCAAGCUCCUUAUCUUUAUCUCCAAGGAACCCCAAGGCCUAGCCUGGAAGUCUCAAGAGCUCUAGGAGAAGAGCAGUAGCUGGCAGCCUCUCUGGGGUCUGCCUGAACUAAUAGAAGGAGCCUCCUGAAGCCAGAACCUUUGCCCCCUCUGUCUGGGUGCAAAUCUCCCUUUUCCGUUCUCAUAUUUUCUACUAUAUGCCUACUCUGAGGCAUGUAUAUAUUCCUCCUUAGCUGUCUCCUCCUCCCCAGGUCCUACCAAAUUAUAAAACAUUACCACAUAUACCAUGCCUCCCCUGGGAGAGAGGGUGAGAGAAAGAGCAAACCGUGUGUGACAGAGGAGAGCCACAUCACUUCACACACUUCUCAGCGACACCAGAUAUGACAGUGAUAGAACUGAACAAGAAGAAAACCAGAAUCUCUGGACUGGCUCACUCUGUGCCAAUCUCCUCUUGUUCAUUUCCUUUCUGAGAUAAACAACACCAAUCAUUUUGAUCUCUCUUUGUGAGCAAAUUUGCCAUGCCCCUAAUCAGCUCUUUCUGAGAAAGGCUUACUUGAACUGCAGACAGUAUUCCCAGAGAGGCCACGCUAGUGAUUUACAUAAUAGCAUUAUCAUAUUUUCCAUAUUAUUCUCCCCUUCUUCAUUCUGCAUGCUAAUAUUUUGUGUGUGCUUUUUUUUAACCUGCAGCUACUCACAGAAUCAGGGGUUGUGUGACAUCCAGAUUCUUUUUUGAGUUGCUAGAGAACAUCUGGAGCUUUGUAAUUCUUACACACAAUUUGUUUUUUCUGACUUUGCACGUGCCCAGUUAAACCUUGGCAAACGUGUGGUGUUGCCCAUUUGCCACAUUUGCAUUUUACUCAGUCCUUUCUGAUCUCCUCAAGAGUAAAUAGCUUUGAGUCAUUCUUCAAAAAUGUUUGGUAUAUUGCUCAUCUUUGUUUCCAGAUCAUCAGUUCAUAUACUGGGCAUUCCAGGACCUCAGAGGCAGCGUUCAUAUUCCCUACCCUUAACCUGCUGCCAGAAUGAAAAUCAAUCUUUGAACUUUCCUCCCAGCUUCUUGCCUCCUCCUUGGGUUGUUAAUCCACAGAAAUACUUCACUCAACACAACAGGGUUCUGUCACCUCUGGGCAGGUGUGCUGAUGAGUCCAGUCUCCAAAACUCUCAAGUAUGGAUCAAAACUGGAGCAGCUCCAUGUGGCAACCCCCUGAUGUACUACAAAUGGGAUCUGCUGGAUCAGGCUGCUCAAUGAUGGACUUCCCUUGCUGCCCUGCAGCCAAGGACUGUGGGCCUCCGCUGUCUGCCAGCUCCCGGGCCCCUUGCCAGCAGCUGCAUGCGCGUGUUGUGAACUACUCCACCCACACAAAACUGCCCCAGCCCCUCCAUGGAGGUCACUCUCUGUGCCCACUGCCCGAUGUGGACUCCCCACGCCUACACUGAACGAGUGUUCAACCUGCCCCUCCUGCCUUGUAAGGAGGAGGCCCUAUUUCUUCACUUUUCUCGAGAAAUCGCAAGGAUUAAUGACAUUUGGGCUCCUGCUCUCCAGCUGCAAGAAGCCAGGAGGGGCAGAGGGCCAAGGGUGGCCACAUGGCUUCAUUUCCUGAACCCCCAGCAGCUUUGAUGCUGAGUGCAUGUGGAAAGGAAGAUGGAUGGUGAGGGAGGAGAGACUGCUGGUACGCAGCCACCUUUCAAGGAGCAUUCCUGAUUUACAGCCGAGACCCAGAUUUUAGUACAGACAGUAACUAUCCACCCUGGGGAGCCAUGCUCAUGGUAUGUUUUAGAGAGGGCAAAGAAGGGAGAAGUCCUAGCCUUCCUGCAGCUGAAGUGGGUCUUUUCAGCUCCCCAGAUUCCAGCCCUGCAGCCCAAGGUGCUCGAACACUGCCAGCAGCAAGUGGUCUGUGUGAUGCAGAGCUGCUGCCCCUGCAAGGGGCUGCACAAAGUCACUGAGGAGGCUCAGUUUUAUUACCCAACAAAUUGAAAUUGCUGCUGUGGUAUUAUUACUACUGGUCUGUGCCCACCUUCAUUCUUACCACAGCUCAUGUUUCUUCAACCAAAUUUCCCCAUGGCUGGGUUUGUUGGGGAUUUUUCUCGUUACCCCCAACUAAUAAAAUUCCAACCCCAUUUUUCACUUUGCACCAGCUGCAUGCUGCAGGAGAUUUACAGAGCCAUUCAGAGACCCUGCUUUUGAGAGUGCUGUUAUCCUCACAAUUCUGUGUCACUCCGACAGCCUCGUGGGCCUUCUACAGUGUGUCUGCAGAGAUCAGAGAGCUUGCAGCUGGUGGUACCACCUCGGGCUUUCUUGUGCUCCUUCACAUGCUGCAAUGAGGUUCUCCCAGUAUGAACAUGGGACUUUGGUUUGUGUAAGGUGUUAUCUGGACUCCCAGUAUCACAUGGGGUUUGGUCCCGUUUCACAGAUUAUUCUGAGCUGGAAGGGAUCUGCAUCCAACUCUUAAGGGAAUGGCCUGUACAGGGAUUGAACACAUGACCUUGGUGUUAUUGGCACCUCACUCUAACCAACUGAGCUAAUCUCAGGUAGCAAAGAAGGGGGCACCUGGAUUUGAGCCAGGGACCUCUUGAUCUGCAGUCAAAUGCUCUACCACUGAGCUAUACCCCCCCUUUGUACAGACCUACAACCUGAGAAGGGCACAGCUACUAUAUCCUGCUGAUCCUCUUCUUUUUCCAGGUAAAGGCACCUAUUGCACAUCUUAUCUCGUUAAGUCACGGGUCCUUAGACAGAUUUAUUUCUGCCCCAUUUUGGAAAAUCUACCUGGUUUUGGUUUUGCAGUAGUCUGAUAUUUCAUUUCUGGGUAACAGUUUGAGUCAAAUGCUUUAAAAACACUGUGAAGCAAACAGAAAUGUGUAGAUGUUUUCUACCUUCUUUUAUUUUUGUGUGUGUGCCUGGUUCUUAGUAAGUGUCUGAGGGGGAAAAAAAAAAAAAGAUAUGACUGAUGAUUUGUUGCUCUUUCUUUGGAAAAGGUCCAGACUAUAGAACAGGGCUAAAAUGCCAGGAAAGAGUUUGCUGCAUAGAGGCAGGCUUAUAUUAUUUGAUUUCUUACAUUCCCUGGGUAACAUAUUUUCUUUAAUUUGAGAUCCUGGAGAAGUCAUUUUAGAUCUUUAUUCAACACAGCUUAUUUGCUCUUCUUCUCAGUUUUCCUUAUUUUUAGAAAGGUGAAGCAUGUUCCCAAAUUAAAUCGUUUCUGGGAUGGACCUCAGCCAAGAGGAUCCAUGGUUCAAGCCGUAAGGCACAGGAAAAAUAAGAGUAAAACAAUGGAGUUUUAUAUUGUGUUUCGUUUGGCAGGGUGAGGAGAGAUAUGGCCUUGAAAGAUUUGCAGUCUUACAUAGCUAUAGUAUAUUUCAAAAGACAGUAAGAACUACUUUCACUUCUCACUUUGCUUAAAAAAAAUAAGCACACCCAGAAAUGCUAGAAAUGUGGGAUUGCCAGAUUCUCCUUAGUUCCGAGAAAAGGUUUGUGUUUGGGGAUCUCGGAGAUGCUUACAGUAACAUCCCAAAUAUUAGCUGAAGUGGGCUGAUCCUCUACCCUUUUGCUGAUGUGCUUGUCCCUGCUGCAGCUACCAAGGCAGAGCUUGCAGCAGCCUGGCCCCAAGCCAGGCUCCUCUCCCUAGCGUCCAUGGAUUAUAUUCCUUAUGUCAGCCUCUCAUUUCAGUGACCCAGAGAUCCUUCUCCAGAUGGGACAGUUUUGCACAGCUCCUCUGAGGUUGUUUUGCAGUGACAGAGCAAAGCUCUGCAAAGCUUUCUCCCAGGUGAAAGUUUGACACACGGUGCCCGUGAGCCACAAGAAAAUGUGCCACUGCCAGGGAGCAAGAACGUGCCUCCCUUCUGCCAUGGCUGUGGCCAAAUCCCCUCUGUCACAGUGCUCUGGAAAGCAGGGCAGCCAGUGCCUGCAGCUGCGGGCAUGUGAGCAUGAAGCCAUUUGCUGGUGACGCUCUCUGGGGCUGGGAUGACUCUCCCUGGCUGCUCCACGGGCUGCCUGCCAGCCAGCUGAGACCUCACUGCUCCCCCAGCUGAGCCACUAAAGCAGCAAGAUUUAAAAACAUAAUAUAAAACUGGACUAAUAAUUAAAAAUUAACUGUCCCUGCUAAACAGCAUAUUAAAAUGUAUCCUUACACAGGGAACAAAUGUCUCCGAGCAACAAAAGCAAACAACCAGCAAGCCAGGGUCUGGUAUCUCCUUUCCAGCUUUCUGAAAGGGUAAGUUUAUAUUGAAGUCACUUUUUUUCCAAGCACCCUGGUGUUUGGAAACAGCUCGUCAAUUCCCAUACCAGCUAACCUGCUGCAGGCAUCGACUGAGAGUCAGCUGGAGCCAGACUCUCCAGGAGCCAGGGAUGGAGAGUCCGCCGCAGCCUCGGUUCCCAUCAAGCAGUGUCGCAUGGUGCCCAUGAUGAGCACCACAAAUCUCUGAACAAUGGUGAGAGCUUCAGGGGAACAACUUAUUUCCAAGGCAGGUCACGCCAGAGCUCCUCCAUGAUCCAUCGCCCCAUCUGACAUCUGUUGGUGCACUGCAAUUCUGCAAAACACAGGAUUUACGUAGCGUUGGAUGGUUUGCACGCUCCUGGUUCAAUUUGGUGCUUAAGGCUCCAUAUCCAUAUCUAGGAUGCAUCUAGAUCCCUUUUGGUAUGUUGAAGGACCCUCUGAGAGAUGGUAUAUAGGGCUGGUGGUGGAGCCACAUGCUCCCUGCACUCUGCAGACCAUCAGCACUGCUCCUGCAAAUUAGGGUCUCCACAGCAGACUGUUUGCCCAAGAGUCAACCCUUCUCUCAAAGACUCCUGCAGCAAAAGCUUGUGCUUUCUGGGGAAAAAAGUCCUGGGUUCAGUCAAUGCCUUCUUUUAAAACCUUGCAAGAAAUGAAAGAAAUGCCAUUUAGGUUACUUCUUAAAAUAAUAUAAAUGUCAGUGAAGAUUUUGUGUUGGA